UAGCUCAGUGGUAUAGCACUUGCCUCCCAUGUAUGAGGUACUGAGUUCAAUUCUCAG
rnacentral:tRNA from 1 species